rnacentral:lncRNA from 1 species
UUUAAAUUAUUAUGCUUAUUAAUGAAACCUAUUAUUGCACAAGAUUUAACAACGUUCCAACAAGUUGCUCGCUCUUUAAAAAGAGCUUUUCAUACGCGAGGACAAAUAUCAUGAUAAAAGCGAGCUCAAAUGCGCCUGAACAAUGGCAGUAGUCAAAGCGAGAUGAGAAAUCACCCACACACGUACGUAAUUACGAUAAUGGUCGCGACACAAAUGCUCGUCACAAUAAAUAAGCAUCGUAAAAUAA